CGCACUCAAUGGUAUCUGCACCCUUCAGAACUUCCUGAUGAGGUGUUCACAAACAUAGUGCUAUAUGAACUCAGGGUCCGGCAUCGUUGGUUAGCCUGCUAUCUCUGCUUGUUAACCUAGUAACUGCUGAUACAUGA
ensembl:snoRNA